rnacentral:lncRNA from 1 species
GUUACUCCUCGCAUCCCACGCCUUGACGCGUACAGUGGUCGGAGCCUCACUACUCCCUCGACCUCCACAGCACGUCGCACGCUAGCUCUCGGGCUCUGUGCAAUCCUAGCCGCUCCAAUGUCACUCACCAUUUUUCUGAUAGGCUUUAUUUGCUAUCUUUUUCAUACUUCUACGUUAGACCGUACAGCAAGUUUUAUCGACAUCCAAGGAACUGACGUGGACCCAGAUGGCUACGCUGAAGCCGCGGGAAAUAUCACGGAGCAAGGCAAGACAUAA